ACCAUCAAAGUUUAUCUCUUUAAAUGAAGACUAAAAUUUAAAAGAGAGAAAAUAAUUAUUCAAUUGAGCAUCCAAAGUCAAGACCACUUUUAAUGCUCACUUUGAAUUGCUCCCUUCUUUAUCUUAGAGUCUCCUUUUUUAAUGGUCAAAAAAGAGUAGGUGGGGGACUUGUCUUUAUGAGGAAAGGGGAAGUAAAAGGGGAAAAAAGCAGGAAAAUAAGCUGAAAGUAGGGAAAAAGCAAAGCCAGGAGGCAUAAAGUAUGGUUUUUUUUCUUUGAGGUGGGGACGGGUUUUGUUUCCACGGAUUGUUUUUCCUUUGUUUUCUGUUUUGUUUGCUUGUUUCUUGGUCUAUGUGGGUAUCAUUUAGUAUCCUAAGUUGGCGAGUCAUUGAAUGGAAAAUUGGGAGUUACAUGUGCACUGGUUUUGUCACCCUUUGUUUUGUUGGUAAGAGAUUCCAAUUUUCAACUAUUUACAUUUAAUCCGUCAUUGUUGACUAUUCAUGUUAUUAGUUUAGUUUUCUUGAACAAACAAGAAAAUAAAAAAGAAAGAGAAGCUCUAAUCAAAAAAUUGAAUGCAUGGUAACAAAAAUGAAUUCAACCAAUCAAACGUGCUAAACAUUUAUUUCAUUUUAUUAGUGAAAAAUUGAAUGCAUGGUAACAAAAAUAAAUUCAACCAAUCAAACGUGCUAAACAUUUAUUUCAUUUUAUUAGUAUAAGUUUUA
rnacentral:lncRNA from 1 species